CCUACGGGUGACAGCAGUGGGGAAUAUUGGGCAAUGGGCGCAAGCCUGACCCAGCAACGCCGCGUGAAGGAAGAAGGCUUUCGGGUUGUAAACUUCUUUUCUCAGGGACGAAGAAAGUGACGGUACCUGAGGAAUAAGCCACGGCUAACUACGGGCCAGCAGCCGCGGUAAUACGUAGGUGGCAAGCUUUAUCCGGAUUUACUGGGUGUAAAGGGCGUGUAGGCGGGAAAGCAAGUCAGAUGUGAAAACCAUGGGCUCAACCUGUGGCCUGCAUUUGAAACUGUUUUUCUUGAGUACUGGGGAGGCAGACGGAAUUCCUCGUGUAGCGGUGAAAUGCGUAGAUAUGAGGAGGAACACCAGUGGCGAAGGCGGUCUGCUGGACAGCAACUGACGCUGAGGCGCGAAAGCGUGGGGAGCAAACAGGAUUAGAUACCCGGGUAGUC
rnacentral:rRNA from 1 species